GCCUCCUUGGCUCAGUGGCUAGAGCGUGUCUUUCCUAUAAUGCAAGGGGUCGAACCCGGCUAGGAAUAGGACGAGGUCGCGGGUUCGACCCCCGCAGGAGGUU
rfam:Tulasnella calospora MTT 4182 unplaced genomic scaffold scaffold_75, whole genome shotgun sequence.